rnacentral:piRNA from 1 species
UGAUUUCUCUGCACAUCGUUUCUGCA